GGAGCACUUCUCAAGGACAGGCUGUGAACAUCUGCCUGGUGUGCAGAAGGCCCCAGGUUCGAUUCCUGGCGUCUCCA
rnacentral:tRNA from 1 species